CCGUACCUUCAAUGGCGGCGCUCAUGCAGGCUUCAAAGAUGGCGUCCAAGUUAGCCUUCCAGUUGUUGUAGAGUUCACUGGGUUUAAAUAAGGUCGAGAUAGAUAGUUCACUAUACCACGACGAAAAAUUGCAUGUAAUUUACAAACUCUUGGCGUCACGUUCAUUUGCUAUAAUAAAAUUUACAAUAAAUAUUUUUUUAUUAUUGAUUGAACUAUGGACGAAUAAGAAAAUUCAUAUCUAGAAAUGACAUGAAUGAAAGGCAAAAGUAAAUAAAAAAUGUGACUAUUUUUGACCAAUGA